rnacentral:rRNA from 1 species
UGGGGAAUAUUGGACAAUGGGCGCAAGCCUGAUCCAGCCAUGCCGCGUGAGUGACGAAGGUCUUCGGAUUGUAAAGCUCUUUUAGCAGGGAAGAUAAUGACGGUACCUGCAGAAUAAGCCCCGGCUAACUUCGUGCCAGCAGCCGCGGUAAUACGAAGGGAGCUAGCGUUGUUCGAAAUCACUGGGCGUAAAGCGCACGUAGGCGGAUUGAUAAGUUAGAGGUGAAAUCCCGGGGCUCAACCUCGGAACUGCCUUUGAUACUGUUAGUCUCGAGUCCGAUAGAGGUGAGUGGAAUUCCUAGUGUAGAGGUGAAAUUCGUAGAUAUUAGGAAGAACACCAGUGGCAAAGGCGGCUCACUGGAUCGGUACUGACGCUGAGGUGCGAAAGCGUGGGUAGCGAACAGGAUUAGAUACCCUGGUAGUCCCUGAGCGGGCUGGCAAGGCGCAU